AUGGGGAUAUUGAUUUUGUCUCCACUCCUAGGUGCCCGGUGUGACAUCCAGUUGAUCCAGUCUCCAUCCACAUUGCCUGCAUCUCUGGGAGAGAGAGUCACCAUCAGUUGCAGGGCAAGUCAGAGUAUUAGCAAUAGUUUAAACUGGUAUCAGCAGAAACCAGAUGGAACUGUUAAACGCCUGAUCUACUCCACAUCCACUUUAGAAUCUGGUGUCCCAUCAAGGUUCAGUGGCAGUGGGUCUGGGACAGAUUAUUCUCUCUCCAUCAGCAGUCUUGAGUCUGAAGAUUUUGCAAUGUAUUACUGUCUACAGUAUGCUACUUAUCCUCACACAGUGAUAUAA